rnacentral:rRNA from 1 species
AGUGAACGUUGGCGGCGUGGAUUAGGCAUGCAAGUCGAGCGAGAACCGUAGCAAUACGGGGACAGCGGCGAAAGGGACAGUAAUGUGUAGGUACCUACCUCCGGGUUCGGGAUAGCUGCGGGAAACUGCAGGUAAUACCGAAUAACGUCUCCGGACCAAAGGUGUGAUUCCACCUGGAGAGGGGCCUGCAUCCUAUUAGCUAGUUGGGGAGGUAACGGCUCACCAAGGCGACGAUGGGUAGCGGGUGUGAGAGCACGACCCGCGUCAUUGGGACUGGGACACUGCCCAGACACCUACGGGUGGCUGCAGUCGAGGAUCUGCGGCAAUGGGCGCAAGCCUGACCGAGCGACGCCGCGUGCGGGAUGAAGGCCUUCGGGUUGUAAACCGCUGUCGUAGAGGAGGAAAUGCAGGGGGGUUCUCCCCUCUGUUUGACCUAUUCUAGGAGGAAGGACGGGCUAAGUUCGUGCCAGCCGCCGCAGUAA